rnacentral:lncRNA from 1 species
AAAAUAAAAAUUAAAAAAAAGGAAAAACGAGCAGCUCCCCCCCCCCGGCCCACCGACUCGCAGCCCCGCGGGGGAAAGGGGGGGGCACGGCGGGGAGCGGCCCCACAGGGGGAGGCGGCCGCCCCCUUCCCCCCCCCCGCGUGCGCGCGCGCGGGGCAGGAGCAGGUGGGUAGCGCGGGGCGGGGGGGGGGAGGGGGGAGGCACUCACAGCCGGGACAGGAACCGCCCCCGCCUCCUUCUGCUGCCGGACACGCCGGAGGGGCGGGGCGGGGCGGGGCGGGGCGGAACUGACGGCAAUGGGCGGGCCCGGCGUCGCCCCGCCCCCCCGCCGCCGGGCGGCGCAUGCGCAGAGCCGUUGUUCCCCGGGCGGGCGGCGCUGUGAGGAGGCGGCGGCGCCGUUGGCGGGCGACGCUGUGAGGAGGCGGUGGAGCCGUUGGCGGGCGGCGCCGCGCCCCUCCCCUGCGCGGCCCCAGGGGCGACAAAACUGGCGGAAAGGAGCGGCCGGUGGCUCCGGGAAAUGGUGUUUAUUCAGGGAGCAGGGAGGUCUUGCUUGUCCGUCGGUUCGUAAAUCGGGCUGUCACCGAAAUAAGAAUGAUUUCUCAUGGCCAGCUGCCAGGAUCUCUCCUUAUCGUCCAGUUGACAACUACUCUGACGCUUACUUGGGGCAACCUUCUCCUCGAAUGAGCAUUCAGCACCUUCGAGCUUAAAGAACAAAAAUCCUGAGAGCCUGGGAAGAUGUACCUUAUAUGAGAAGCCAAGAGUCGGCAGGACGGACCCGUGCCAGGGCACCCAGAGGACAUCCUUCCAGCUUGCUUUCCAAACGGAAGGCUCUUAGUUGGUGCCACGCUUCUCGAAAUCCAGGAGAGCAGACAUGUGUCCCUGGAUGCCACGUUUGCUUCCAACAUGCUACUCGUUUUCCCCGUAGAAGAGACGCCUGCUGCCAUGUCAUUCCCCAUGGAGACGCUUGGCCCGAGUAUUUUAUCCAUUUAUCAAGCCAGAUCAUCAACCAAACCAUCUCACCGCCCGAUCUGUUCUUACGCACCCCCACCACCACCACAGCUAUCAGCCCAAGCCAUGGAAGUGAAAACUGCUCUCUGCCUCCCAGUUUGCAAUAUCUCUGGCACGAUGGGGUACUCAGCUUCCCUGUCUCUACUUUCCCAGUGCAGAUGCCUGUAGGAGAAGAAAGGAGCAUAUCAGGACUUAAAGCAUCUCUAGGAAAUAAUUGUGGCUGUGUAAACGCUGUGAUUUAGAGCUUUGGCAUUGCUGUUAAGCUGCGCCAGGAUGUGGGUAUAUAAUAUCCUGAAUAAUCCCAGGUGGUGAAGCAAGUCUGCAGAGAAGUUCCCUAAAUGGGUAUCUAUCAAAACUGGAAAUGGAAAUGGAAGAUCAUUGUCUGCCUCAAAACCUGGCUUCCAUUCAAACAUUUUUAAAGUUGAAAGUCUUCAUCCUUUCAGCUGUUCUGAUGGAGGAACUCUGCACCAAGAGUCUUACCUGACACUUCAAAAUGUUUAGAUAUAUUAAAGUGACCAYUGUCAAUUCAAUCAUUUGCUGUUUGCAUUAGUGCGUUAACAUCUAAUUUACCAGCGGCUCAGCUUUAUCUCUUACUUUAAGUAUAACCCAACUUUAUAUAUCCCCACUCAAUAACACUUCAUCAAAUGCCUUCACAAUCGCUUUUUUUUUUGCCUUCUGCAAGACAAUGCUGCUGCUUCGUCAUAACCUUUGUCAUAAACUGUUUCCAUUAUUUGUGAAUGCUGCUUUUGUAUUGCUGUGCUUCAGAUGCGGCAUAGUUAAUGAUGUCUUUUGUGAUGGUAUGCAUUUUUGUGCUAAACAGCUUUUUCUUUUAAUGUAUCUUUACAUUUACUGCAGUAUGUGCCAAUUGCUUAUCCAUAUACCGUGUUUAUGCUUUGUCAGAUUGACUCCAGCUUCCUCCCUUGUUCACUGACACAAACACAUUUUUUCACUAGUCCAGCACUUUCCCACUGUUCUUCACGACAUAAUGGUCAGUGCCAACAGUCUUGUUUCUGAUUACAGAUCAUAAAUAAUUCAAUCUCUAAUUAGUCUUAAUGCACUUCUUAAAUGCACAUGGGUUAGUUUUAAAAUGUCACUCUGCAAUGUAAUGGUCAAUUUUUUUAGCUAUGCUCUGCUUUUGUGUAAAGAAAAUGUAUUCCUGAACUUUUUUGGUUUUGUCAAGCAAUUUGCAGUCUUCAUUAUAUUCUCUCUGGAAUAAUUGGAAGAGCUUCAGUGCAGCUAGAAUUGCUUCGUGUUCUUUCUAUAAUAUACUUGCUCUUUAUCUGAUAGUACUUUAACGUAUCUCAGUAACUUUGGGGAAUUCUGCAGACACCUUCUCCAGAUUCCCUUCCAUGGGGAAUUCUGAUACAUCAUGUUUAUCAUGAUUUUUAAUACCAUACAAUAAAGGUCUGAUACAGAAAAGUAUUUUUCA